rnacentral:rRNA from 2 species
AUGGUUAAGUUAGAAAGGGCGCACGGUGGAUGCCUUGGCACUAGGAGCCGAUGAAGGACGGGACGAACACCGAUAUGCUUCGGGGAGCUGUAAGCAAGCUUUGAUCCGGAGAUUUCCGAAUGGGGAAACCCACUGCUCGUAAUGGAGUAGUAUCCAUACUUGAAUACAUAGAGUAUGAGAAGGCAUACCCGGGGAACUGAAACAUCUAAGUACCCGGAGGAAGAGAAAGCAAAUGCGAUUCCCUGAGUAGCGGCGAGCGAAACGGGAACAGCCCAAACCAAGAGGCUUGCCUCUUGGGGUUGUAGGACACUCUAUACGGAGUUACAAAGGAACGAUAUAAGCGAAGAGGUCUGGAAAGGCCCGCCAAAGAAGGUAACAGCCCUGUAACUGAAAUGUUGUUCUCUCCAGAGUGGAUCCUGAGUACGGCGGAACACGUGAAAUUCCGUCGGAAUCCGGGAGGACCAUCUCCCAAGGCUAAAUACUCCCUAGUGACCGAUAGUGAACCAGUACCGUGAGGGAAAGGUGAAAAGCACCCCGGAAGGGGAGUGAAAUAGAUCCUGAAACCGUGUGCCUACAAGUAGUCAGAGCCCGUUAACGGGUGAUGGCGUGCCUUUUGUAGAAUGAACCGGCGAGUUACGAUCCCGUGCAAGGUUAAGCAGAAGAUGCGGAGCCGCAGCGAAAGCGAGUCUGAAUAGGGCGCAUGAGUACGUGGUCGUAGACCCGAAACCAGGUGAUCUACCCAUGUCCAGGGUGAAGUUCAGGUAACACUGAAUGGAGGCCCGAACCCACGCACGUUGAAAAGUGCGGGGAUGAGGUGUGGGUAGGGGUGAAAUGCCAAUCGAACCUGGAGAUAGCUGGUUCUCUCCGAAAUAGCUUUAGGGCUAGCCUCAAGGUAAGAGUCUCGGAGGUAGAGCACUGAUUGGACUAGGGGCCCCUACCGGGUUACCGAAUUCAGUCAAACUCCGAAUGCCGAUGACUUAUCCUUGGGAGUCAGACUGCGAGUGAUAAGAUCCGUAGUCGAAAGGGAAACAGCCCAGACCGCCAGCUAAGGUCCCAAAGUAUACGUUAAGUGGAAAAGGAUGUGGAGUUGCUUAGACAACCAGGAUGUUGGCUUAGAAGCAGCCACCAUUUAAAGAGUGCGUAAUAGCUCACUGGUCGAGUGACUCUGCGCCGAAAAUGUACCGGGGCUAAACGUAUCACCGAAGCUGCGGACUGUUCUUACGAACAGUGGUAGGAGAGCGUUCUAAGGGCUGUGAAGCCAGACCGGAAGGACUGGUGGAGCGCUUAGAAGUGAGAAUGCCGGUAUGAGUAGCGAAAGACGGGUGAGAAUCCCGUCCACCGAAUGCCUAAGGUUUCCUGAGGAAGGCUCGUCCGCUCAGGGUUAGUCGGGACCUAAGCCGAGGCCGAAAGGCGUAGGCGAUGGACAACAGGUUGAUAUUCCUGUACCACCUCCUCACCAUUUGAGCAAUGGGGGGACGCAGGAGGAUAGGGUAAGCGCGGUAUUGGAUAUCCGCGUCCAAGCAGUUAGGCUGGGAAAUAGGCAAAUCCGUUUCCCGUAAAGGCUGAGCUGUGAUGGCGAGCGAAAUUUAGUAGCGAAGUUCCUGAUUCCACACUGCCAAGAAAAGC